rnacentral:lncRNA from 10 species
GGGUGCUAAAAAUCAAAGCAGUUGAAUUCAUGCAGACAGGGAGUAGAAGAAUGGUUACCAAAGUCUAGGAAGAGUAGUAGGAGGAGUGGGAGGGAGAAGGAAGUGGGAAUGGUUAAUAGGCAAAAAUAUGUAGUUAUAAAGAACGAAUAAGAUCUAGUAUUUUAUAGCAUAACAGGGUGACUAUAAUCAAUAAUUAAUUGUACAUAUAAAAAUAACUAAAAGAGUGUAAUUGGAUUUUUGUAACACAAAGGAUAAAUGCUUGAGGGUAGGGAUACCCCAUUGCCUAGGAUGUGAUUAUUGCUUACUGCAUGCCAGUAUCAAAGUAUCUCAUGUGCCCCAUAAAUGUAUAUACUUACUAUAUACCCACAAAAAUAAAACAAACCAAAGUAUGUUUUCUGACCACAACAGAAUGAAAUUAGCGAUCAAAAAACAAAGGAAAUUUGGAGGAUUCACAAAUAUUUGAAAAUUAAGCAAACACUUCUAAAUAAUCAAUGCAUCAAAAAAGAAAUCACAAGGAAAAUGAGAAAAUGCUAGAGAUAAAUGCAAACAAAAACACAGCAAAAAUUUAUUGGAUGCAGCUAAAGCAGUGCUUAGUGGAAAACUUAUAGCUGUAGAUGCCUAUAUAAAACAAGAAAAGACCAGGUGGUGGUUAAUGCCUGUUGUUCCAGCAAUUUGAGAGGCCAAGGCAAGUGGACCAGCCUAACCAACAUGGUGAAAUCCUGUCUCUACUAAAAAUACAAAAAUUAGCCAGGUGUAGUGAUCCGCCCGCCUCAGACUCCCAAAGUGCUGGGAUUACAGGUGUAAGCCACUGCGCCGGGCAGGAGAGCUGUUUUUUUCAUCCCCUGAAAAGGGUAAUAAUCUCAUCAUGGGAACUCUAUACCCAUAAUCUCAUUCAGCUCUAAUUAUUUCCUAAAGACCUUAAUGCCAAAUAAAAUCAGAUUGGGGAUUAUAUCUUCAACAUAUGAAAUAUCAGAAUAUUUCAUAUUUCAACAUAAAUAUGAAAUAUUCAGUCCAUAGCAUCCCCCAAACUUUAUGCCUACCUAUAAACACAAAAUAUGACCUUAUUUGGAAAUAGAAUCUUUGCACAUGUAAUUAGUUAAGAUGAGGUCAUACUGAAUUAGGGUGAGCCCUAAAUUCAAUAACUGGUACCUCUGUAAGAAGAGGAAAGGACACACAGAGACACAAAGAUACACAAAAUUCAAGGCCAUAUUAGACAGAGACAGAGACUGUAAUAUUGUAGCUACAAGACAAAUAAUGUCAAGGAUUCCUGGGAGCUACUAGAAGCUAGGAAGAAUAAAGAAAGAUUAUUUUUUUCCUAGAGUCUUCAGAGGAAGCACAACCCUGCUAACAACAUUUGGACUUCUUCUUCUUCUUCUUCUUUUUUU